rnacentral:rRNA from 1 species
GAUGAACGCUAGCUACAGGCUUAACACAUGCAAGUCGAGGGACCGGCGCACGGGUGAGUAACACGUAUCCAACCUGACCUUUACUCGGGGAUAGCCUUUCGAAAGAAAGAUUAAUACUCGAUAUAAAGGAUGGGGAUGCGUUCCAUUAGGUUGUUGGUGAGGUAACGGCCCACCAAGCCUUCGAUGGAUAGGGGUUCGGAGAGGAAGGUCCCCUGCGUUGGACCUGAGGCCUGGCCCAACCUCCUAGGGGGGGCAGCGGAGGUGAGUAUUGGUCAAGCGGGCCUAGCGUGAACCAGCCACUUAGAGUAAAUGAGGAUGGCUUUUGUGUCGUAAUUUUUUUGUAUGUAAGGAUAGGUAUUAUAUGAAUAAGGACCGGCUAACUCCGUGCCAGCAGCCGCGGUAAUAC